GAUGAACGCUGGCGGCGUGCCUAAUACAUGCAAGUCGAGCGAAGCGGGGACGGGUGAGUGACACGUGGAGGACCUCCUAUAAGACUGGGAUAACUUCGUGAAAACGGAGCUAAACCGGAAACUUAUAGCUGAAUCGGCUCUGCAUUAGCUAGUUGGUAAGGUAACGGCUUACCAAGGCAACGAUGCCUAGCCGACCUGAGAGGGUGAUCGGCCACACUGGAACUGAGACACGGUCCAGACUCCUACGGGAGGCAGCAGUAGGGAAUAUUCCGCAAUGGGCGAAAGCCUGACGGAGCAACGCCGCGUGAGUGAUGAAGGCCUUCGGAUCGUAAAACUCUGUCAGUAGGGAGGCGGUACCUAAUCAGGAAGCACCGGCUAACUACGUGCCAGCCGCCGCGGUAAUAC
rnacentral:rRNA from 1 species